AGUGAACGCUGGCGGUAGGCCUAACACAUGCAAGUCGAACGGCAGCACAGUAAGAGCUUGCUCUUACGGGUGGCGAGUGGCGGACGGGUGAGGAAUACAUCGGAAUCUACUUUUUCGUGGGGGAUAACGUAGGGAAACUUACGCUAAUACCGCAUACGACCUACGGGUGAAAGCAGGGGAUCUUCGGACCUUGCGCGAUUGAAUGAGCCGAUGUCGGAUUAGCUAGUUGGCGGGGUAAAGGCCCACCAAGGCGACGAUCCGUAGCUGGUCUGAGAGGAUGAUCAGCCACACUGGAACUGAGACACGGUCCAGACUCCUACGGGAGGCAGCAGUGGGGAAUAUUGGACAAUGGGCGCAAGCCUGAACCAGCCAUACCGCGUGGGUGAAGAAGGCCUUCGGGUUGUAAAGCCCUUUUGUUGGGAAAGAAAAGCAGCAGGUUAAUACCCCGCUGUUCUGACGGUACCCAAAGAAUAAGCACCGGCUAACUUCGU
rnacentral:rRNA from 1 species